rnacentral:rRNA from 1 species
CCUACGGGGGGCAGCAGUAGGGAAUCUUCCACAAUGGGCGCAAGCCUGAUGGAGCAACACCGCGUGAGUGAAGAAGGGUUUCGGCUCGUAAAGCUCUGUUGUCGGAGAAGAACGUGCGUGAGAGUAACUGUUCACGCAGUGACGGUAUCCAACCAGAAAGUCACGGCUAACUCCGUGCCAGCAGCCGCGGUAAUACGUAGGGGGCAAGCGUUAUCCGGAUUUAUUGGGCGUAAAGCGAGCGCAGGCGGUUGCUUAGGUCUGAUGUGAAAGCCUUCGGCUUAACCGAGGAAGUGCAUCGGAAACCGGGCAACUUGAGUGCAGAAGAGGACAGUAGAACUCCAUGUGUAGCGGUGGAAUGCGUAGAUAUAUGGAAGAACACCAGUGGCGAAGGCGGCUGUCUGGUCUGCAACUGACGCUGAGGCUCGAAAGCAUGGGUAGCGAACAGGAUUAGAUACCCCGGUAGUC